GUUAGAGCCCUGGCAACCAGCUACAGGGAGGAGGUUAGAGCCCUGGCAACCAGCUACAGGGAGGAGGUUAGAGCCCUGGCAACCAGCUACAGGGAGGAGGUUAGAGCCCUGGCAACCAGCUACAGGGAGGAGGUUAGAGCCCUGGCAACCAGCUACAGGGAGGAGGUUAGAGCCCUGGCAACCAGCUACAGGGAGGAGGUUAGAGCCCUGGCAACCAGCUACAGGGAGGAGGUUAGAGCCCUGGCAACCAGCUACAGGGAGGAGGUUAGAGCGCUGGCAACCAGCUACAGGGAGGAGCUUAGAGCCCUGGCAACCAGCUACAGGGAGGAGGUUAGAGCCCUGGCAACCAACUACAGGGAGGAGGUUAGAGCCCUGGCAACCAGCUACAGGGAGGAGCUUAGAGCCCUGGCAACCAGCUACAGGGAGGAGGUUAGAGCCCUGGCAACCAGCUACAGGGAGGGGGUUAGAGCCCUGGCAACCAGCUACAGGGAGGGGGUUAGAGCCCUGGCUCAUAUACCUCAAAUAUGCCAUAUACCUCAAAUAUCUAAUCAAAUUCCAAAUCAUAUCAAAUGUAUUUAUAAAGCCCUUCUUACAUCAGCUGAUAUCUCAAAGUUCUAUACAGAAACCCAGCCUAAAACCCCAAACAGCAAGAAAUGCAGGUGUAGAAGCACGGUGGCUAGGAAAAAAUCCCUAGAAAGGCCAAAACCUAGGAAGAAACCUAGAGAGGAACCAGGCUAUGAGGGGUGGCCAGUCCUCUUCUGGCUGUGCCGGGUGGAGAUUAUAACAGCACAUGGCCAAGAUGUUCAAAUGUUCAUAAAUGACCAGCGUGGUCAAAUAAUAAUAAUUACAGUGGUUGUCGAGGGUGCAACAGGUCAGCACCUCAGGAGUAAAUGUCAGUUGGCUUUUCAUAGCCGAUCAUUGAGAGCAUCUCUACCGCUCCUGCUGUCUCUAGAGAGUUGAAAACAGCAGGUCUGGGACAGGUAGCACGUCCGGUGAAUAGGUCAGGGUUCCAGCAGGUCUGGGACAGGUAGCACGUCCGGUGAACAGGUCAGGGUUUCAGCAGGUCUGGGACAGGUAGCACGUCCGAUGAACAGGUC
rnacentral:lncRNA from 1 species